rnacentral:rRNA from 1 species
CUUGACACUGAACAUUGAGCCUUGAUGUGUAGGAUAGGUGGGAGGCUUUGAAGUGUGGACGCCAGUCUGCAUGGAGCCGACCUUGAAAUACCACCCUUUAAUGUUUGAUGUUCUAACGUGGACCCGUGAUCCGGGUUGCGGACAGUGUCUGGUGGGUAGUUUGACUGGGGCGGUCUCCUCCUAAAGAGUAACGGAGGAGCACGAAGGUAU